rnacentral:rRNA from 13 species
UGGGGCCCCACAGGCUUACUGAUCCUAACCAAACUCCGAAUACCGGGGAGUACUAGAUGGCAGACACACUGCGGAUGCUAACGUCCGUAGUGGAGAGGGAAACAACCCUGACCUACAGCUAAGGCCCCUAAUUCAUGGCUAAGUGGGAAAGCAGGUGAGACGACCAAAACAACCAGGAGGUUGGCUUAGAAGCAGCCAUCCUUUAAAGAUAGCGUAACAGCUCACUGGUCUAAAUAAGUUGUCUUGCGGCGAAGAUGUAACGGGGCUCAAGCCAUGAGCCGAAGCUUAGGAUGCAUUUAUUGCAUGGUAGCAGAGCGUAGUGUGACAUAAGACUACGUCUUUAUUGAUCUUUUGUAGUACCAAGGUUUGUUGUUUGGGUGUUCGCACUCAAGUAGCCGAAGGCGGUAGUGCAUAUAAAGAGAUCAUAAAAGACAAAGUCUUUUCUGUGAAGCGGGCCUGUGAGGGAUCCCGUGGAGAGAUCACUAGUGAGAAUGAUGACAUGAGUAGCGACAAAGAGUGUGAGAGACACUCUCGCCGAAAAUCCAAGGGUUCCUGCUUAAAGCUAAUCUGAGCAGGGUAAGCCGACCCCUAAGGCGAGGCCGAAAGGCGUAGUCGAUGGGAACCAGGUUAAUAUUCCUGGGCCAGAUGGAAGUGACGGAUCUCGAGGGUAGUUCAUCCUUAUCGGAUUGAAUGGGCUGCUUAGAGGUCCCUGGAAAUAGCUCCAUCGCUAGAUCGUACCCUAAACCGACACAGGUGGACAGGUAGAGUAUACCAAGGCGCUUGAGAGAACUAUGUUGAAGGAACUCGGCAAAAUACCUCCGUAAGUUCGCGAGAAGGAGGCCCGGUUCGUACGCAAGUAUGGGCUGGGGGCACAAACCAGGGGGUGGCGACUGUUUAUUAAAAACACAGGGCUCUGCGAAGUCGUAAGACGACGUAUAGGGUCUGACGCCUGCCCGGUGCCUGAAGGUUAAAAGGAGGGGUGAGAGCUCUGAAUUGAAGCCCAGGUAAACGGCGGCCGUAACUAUAACGGUCCUAAGGUAGCGAAAUUCCUUGUCGGGUAA